UACGUAGGGGGCAAGCGUUGUCCGGAUUUAUUGGGCGUAAAGAGCGUGUAGGCGGCUGGGUAGGUCUGCUGUGAAAACUCGAGGCUCAACCUCGAGACGUCGGCGGAAACCCUCCAGCUAGAGUCCGGAAGAGGAGAGUGGAAUUCCUGGUGUAGCGGUGAAAUGCGCAGAUAUCAGGAGGAACACCGGUGGCGAAAGCGCUCAUCUGGCCCGAUACUGACGCUGAUGCGCGAAAGCUAGGGGAGCGAACGGG
rnacentral:rRNA from 1 species